AACACUAAAGGGUGCUUGUGGAUG
rnacentral:piRNA from 1 species